rnacentral:rRNA from 1 species
GAUGAACGCUAGCGGCGGGCUUAACACAUGCAAGUCGAGGGGUAUAGGGUUUCGAACCUAGAUACCGGCGCACGGGUGCGUAACGCGUAUGCAAUCUACCUUGUACAGGGGGAGAGCCGAGAGAAAUUUGGAUUAAUACCCCAUAGUAUUAUAGAAUGGCAUCAUGUUAUAAUUAAGGUUCCAACGGUACAAGAUGAGCAGGCGUCCCAUUAGCUCGUUGGUAUGGUAACGGCAUACCAAGGCUACGAUGGGUAGGGGUCCGGAGAGGGAGAUACCCCACACUGGUACUGAGACACGGAGCAGACUCCAACGGGGGGCAGAAGUGAGGAAUAUUGGUCAAGGGACGAGAGUCUGAACCAGCCAUGCCGCGUGCAGGAUGACGGUCCUAUGGAUUGUAAACUGCUUUUGUACAGGAAGAAACACUCCUACGUGUAGGAACUUGACGGUACUGUAAGAAUAAGGAUCGGCUAACUCCGUGCCAGCAGCCGCCGCAG